UGCAUUCAUGGCAACUGGAAAACGGAGAGCCUCUAUAAGAGAGGAUUAACACCCGUAUAAAAAAAUAGACUGAGAGAGCUGGAACCCCAGGAAGUUUGUUGAGUGAUGGCUUCUUUUUCUUCUUUUCUGGUAAGCACAGAGAGAAAAAGGCAAGAUGAAAAAGCAUUGAGAGAUGUUUGGGGAAUUUUAGGUUGUCACCUAGGGGAGUAAGUGAGCCAGAGAACACAGAGAUAUUAGAGAAAACCUAGUCUGUAGAUUGAUUAAAGAAAGGAUGGGAAUGUCGGAUUGUUGAGAUUGGCAGAAAAGGGUAAAGUCUGAUUCUCCGUAUUUCUCCUCUGAUCAUUGUAGGACUUCUGGACAAAUUUUAUUAUUAAACACUGAUGCCAUGAAUGUUUAAAUGUGAAUGAUUGAGCAGAAGAAAUGGUCUAUUUUCAUUGUGUUUUCAUUACAUUGUCUGGCAUUUUGCAUUGCUUUAUUCAUGUUUUAGUUUCUAUUUGAGAAUAUUGCCAUUUUUUUGGCAACCAAAGAAAGUGGGAAC
rnacentral:lncRNA from 1 species